UUUUUCUUCAUAUCCUUUAAAAAAAAUAUGAUAAUAAAAAGAAAAAGCUCUGUAUAAAUUUAACAAACUAUCCUAAAAAUUUUAAGUUAAAAAUUAUUAGUUUCGUGAAAGAUUAUGGAUUUAAGAUCCAAAAAAAAUAUGAUAAUAAAAAGAAAAAAAGUUUAUAUAAAUUUAACGACCUAUCCAAAAUCUUUAAAUUAAAAAAAAUAUAAUGUCC
rnacentral:lncRNA from 1 species